UCAACGUAUCACGCCGAAGACAGUGGGUGCCGGAAGGCAUAAAGAGAAAUCACCCGCCGAGGAGAGAUGAUUCUUACAGAUUUUAUGAGAAUGAUUUUCACUCCCUGUGUCUUUGGAUCCGGGGAGUUUUUUAUUU
rnacentral:sRNA from 1 species